rnacentral:lncRNA from 1 species
UCAGAGGGGAGUUUUUUCAUGAGGUCAAGGGCUUUUUUGUAUUUGGCUAGAUACUCAUCGUUGACCAAAUGUGCGGCUGGUCUUACCCUCAAGGGUUGGUUAGAGGGAGAGAACUUGAAAUCUAUGAUUUUGGAAGAUGGGGGGCAACAAUUGGUGGGUUUUACACCUGCGGGUAGGUCUGGUGGACCGCACGUGUUUAGGUCAGGAGGAGAUAUUGGAGCUGCAAAGGCAAAAGGGUUGUUGUUGUUAAGAGUAACAGCACCACAAAGCCCUCCUAGGCC